rnacentral:lncRNA from 1 species
UGGAUUUGAAUACCCCUGUGGAGGACCCUUACGCACAACAAGGUUAUUCGAAUUUCGGUUACGGUGGCGAGUAUAGCUUUGUACAGCAGGAGUGUUAUCCAAACGACAGUUACGGUUGUCAACAAGGUUAUUCGAAUUUCGGUUACGGUGGCGAGCAAAGCUUUGUACAGCAGGAGUGUUAUCCAAACCAGAGUUACGGUUGUGAACAGAGCUUUGAACAUCAAGUCUAUUCGAAUCUCGGUGACGAUGGUGAGCCGGAGGAUGUGUCUACCUUUUCGUCACGUAAAGAGUUGGUGCGUUGGGUACAAGACACGGCAAAAGACAAUGGUUACCUCAUUGUGACAAAGAGGUCGAAUAAAAGAGGAGAGAAUUACAAGAUUUGGUUUCAAUGUACUUUUGGUGGGGAGCAU